rnacentral:tRNA from 1 species
GCCAACGUAGCUCAAUUGGCAGAGCACCCGAUUCGUAAUCGGGAGGUUAAGGGUUCAACUCCCUUCGUUGGCUCCA